GCCUGGCUGGCUCAGUCGGUAGAGCAUGCGACUCUUGAUCUCAGGGCUGUGAGUUCAAGCCCCACAUUGGGUG
rnacentral:tRNA from 1 species